rnacentral:misc_RNA from 1 species
UGGCCAAUCAGGAUUUGGUUCGGGUGCUGGCCAAUCAGGAUUUGGUUCAGGUGCUGGCCAAUCAGGAUUUGGUUCGGGUGCUGGCCAAUCAGGAUUUGGUUCAGGUGCGGGCCAAUCAGGGUUCGGUUCCAGUGCUGGCCAAUCCGGAUUUGGUUCAGGUGCUGGCCAAUCAGGAAUUGGUGCUGGCUCUGCUCAGACUCCAAGCUUAACCUAUGGCUUACCUUAGACUUAAUCCAUCCUCAUACUGAGUGAAGUCAUGUUGCACAUCAUGCAGUGAAAAUGUGGUGGCCAUACCUUUGCAAAGGUAGCAGUUUAAUGAACACUGCUUCCUUGCAGGGUGAAAAAUACGCUUAGAAUUAAACUGGUUAUUUAAUUAUAAGUUUAGAUUAUAUCAAAAUAUAGUUGUUAAGAAAAACGUAAA